AGAAUAUAUGGUUGGUGACUUUUGAUAUCAUGUGAUAUAAGACGAGUCUGAUAUGGCGUAGGAAAAGGCGAGGCUUGCCGAGCCUUUUCACACGCCAUAUCGGACGAGUCUUAUAUCACAUGAUAUCAAAAGUCACCAACCAUAUAUUCUAUUUAUUAUGCCACAUUUUAAAGUAAAUAAGAAAAUAUUCACAAAACAAACAAAAACAAACAACCGCUAAAUUCAUUGAUGUAGAUACGGUAAUAAAUAUGCAAAUUAGUAGCAACCUGAUUACAUCCGCUAGCGUCUAUGCAUAUAUAUUUACACAUAAAAAAAUAGUUCGAAAGUAAGCAACAAACAAUCAAAUUUAAACGCACAUACUACAAAAAUUGAAGCGAGAAAUCGAAACUUAAAAGAACAAUUUCUGCACUAAAAACACAAUACCAAUAUUUUUUACAAUAACACAUUCGACAUGUACUUCCAAGAGUACACACCAACCGCUAUUUUCAAAGCGAAUGUGUAGAGUGAAAAUUUCAAACAAUAAAUACAAUAAUCAAAUGGAACGGGAUUUUAACGUAGUGCGCAAUUUGGAAGUGAUAAGAGUGAUUUAUUUUUCAACUUGUCCAUCUCCGUAAUAUACGUUUAGUUGUGAGAUGUUAACAGUUUUCCAAAAAAAAAACAGGCCUUCACGUGCGAAGUCAAAGUGGGUGGGGAACGCGACUACUUGUGUAUUUCGAGUCGCUGGAACUUCAUAAUGAAGCUGCUUUUGUGCAAUAUUCAGCGACGUUACCAGCUGUGUGUUAGACGAAACGAAAAUGCUUUGGUUUUGCAUCGUGUUUUGAGACUGUCAGGGUGACAUGAUGGAUUAAUUGCUGUUUGACUGAAAAUUAAUGAACAUGUUUGUGUUUGGAGAUUGCUGAGGUUAAUAUCUUUACAAUUGGGAAAUCCCAACAUAAGUUGACUGCCAGUUUGACCACUGAUCUGCAUAAUAACAGUGGGAGAGCAUGCUGAAUCCCGCAGCUUCUGCACCAUAUGUUUCCUGGCCGAGUGGUUGAAAGUUGCGACCACACAUUCCAUGGGUGAUGAUAUCUACCAAAAUUCUUGGCGGCACAGUUCUACCCUCGUCAGUUGCACUUGUCCGAGUCUUUCUCUGCCUCUCAACCAACUCGAGAUAUUCCCCCCCCCCCAACUGCACCCCGGCACAGCUUCACAUCAACCCAUCUAAUUAAUUUGUCGGAAAGGUUGACUACACAAAUUUCCUGUUUGGUUGUGGAGAUAGAAUCUUUUUUUUGUGAAAGUUUGAUUUCAGACACUUUAAAAUUGAAAUGGUCAUGUAUUAUUAGGCAUGGCAGGCAUUAGCAAAGCAUCUCAAUCA